rnacentral:rRNA from 1 species
UGGGGAAUUUUUGGACAAUGGGGGGAAACCCUGAUCCAGCCAUCCCGCGUGUGCGAUGAAGGCCUUCGGGUUGUAAAGCACUUUUGGCAGGAAAGAAACGUCGCGGGUUAAUACCCCGCGGAACUGACGGUACCUGCAGAAUAAGCACCGGCUAACUACGUGCCAGCAGCCGCGGUAAUACGUAGGGUGCAAGCGUUAAUCGGAAUUACUGGGCGUAAAGCGUGCGCAGGCGGUUCGGAAAGAAAGAUGUGAAAUCCCAGAGCUUAACUUUGGAACUGCAUUUUUAACUACCGGGCUAGAGUGUGUCAGAGGGAGGUGGAAUUCCGCGUGUAGCAGUGAAAUGCGUAGAUAUGCGGAGGAACACCGAUGGCGAAGGCAGCCUCCUGGGAUAACACUGACGCUCAUGCACGAAAGCGUGGGGAGCAAACAGGAUUAGAUACCCUGGUAGUCCACGCCCUAAACGAUGUCAACUAGCUGUUGGGGUCUUCGGACCUUGGUAGCGCAGCUAACGCGUGAAGUUGACCGCCUGGGGAGUACGGUCGCAAGAUUAAAACUCAAAGGAAUU